GAUGAAGAACGUAGCGAAAUGCGAUACGUAAUGUGAAUUGCAGAAUUCAGUGAAUCAUCGAAUCUUUGAACGCACAUUGCACUCCUUGGUAUUCCGAGGAGUAUGCCUGUUUCAGUAUCAUGAGCACUCUCACAUCUAACCUUUGGGUUAAAAUGUGGAAUUGGGAUGCGCCGGUUAUCAUAACGGCCUCCUAAAAUUCAGUUCUUGGCUGCUUCCUACUACAGCAGUUUGGCCUAAUAGUUUUGAGUCUACGAUUCAAAUCUUUGGCUAACAUUUGCUUCAGGAUGUCAGUCUUGAUAUACAGAAAUCUCAUUCAAACUUUGAUCUGAAAUCAGGUAGGGCUACCCGCUGAACUUAAGCAUACAAUAAGCGGAGGA
rnacentral:misc_RNA from 1 species